AGAGUUUGAUCCUGGCUCAGGACGAACGCUGGCGGCAUGCCUAAUACAUGCAAGUCGAACGCGACCAGCCGGUGCUUGCACUGGCGAAGUCGAGUGGCGAACGGGUGAGUAACACGUGAGAAACCUACCCUGGAGUGGGGAAUAACUCGAAGAAAUUCGAGCUAAUACCGCAUACCUUCUUACCGUCGAAUGGUGGUUUGAAGAAAGAUUUAUCGCUCUGGGAGGGUCUCGCGGCCUAUCAGCUAGUUGGUGAGGUAACGGCUCACCAAGGCAUCGACGGGUAGCUGGUCUGAGAGGACGAUCAGCCACACUGGAACUGAGACACGGUCCAGACUCCUACGGGAGGCAGCAGUAGGGAAUCUUGCGCAAUGGGCGAAAGCCUGACGCAGCAAUGCCGCGUGCGGGACGAAGGCCCUAGGGUCGUAAACCGCUUUCAGUAGGGACGAAAAUGACGGUACCUGCAGAAGAAGCUCCGGCCAACUACGUGCCAGCAGCCGCGGUGAUACGUAGGGAGCAAGCGUUGUCCGGAAUUACUGGGCGUAAAGGGCUCGUAGGUGGUUGAGUAAGUCAGAUGUGAAAUCUCAGGGCCCAACCCUGAGCGUGCAUUUGAUACUGCUCUGACUAGAGUCCGGUAGGGGAGUGCGGAACUCCUGGUGUAGCGGUGAAAUGCGCAGAUAUCAGGAAGAACACCGACAGCGAAGGCAGCACUCUGGGCCGGUACUGACACUGAGGAGCGAAAGCAUGGGUAGCAAACAGGAUUAGAUACCCUGGUAGUCCAUGCCGUAAACGUUGGGCACUAGGUGUGGGGAGAACUCAACUCUCUCCGCGCCGUAGCUAACGCAUUAAGUGCCCCGCCUGGGGAGUACGGCCGCAAGGCUAAAACUCAAAGGAAUUGACGGGGGCCCGCACAAGCGGUGGAGCAUGUGGUUCAAUUCGACGCAACGCGAAGAACCUUACCUGGGCUUGAACUGUAGAUGACAUCCGGCGAAAGCCGGCUUCCGCAAGGACAUCUGCAGAGGUGCUGCAUGGCUGUCGUCAGCUCGUGUCGUGAGAUGUUGGGUUAAGUCCCGCAACGAGCGCAACCCUCGUCCUCUGUUGCCAUCAGGUUAAGCUGGGCACUCUGAGGAGACUGCCGGUGAUAAACCGGAGGAAGGUGGGGAUGACGUCAAGUCAGCAUGGCCUUUAUGUCCAGGGCUACACACGUGCUACAAUGGUCGGUACAAAGCGUCGCAAGCCCGCGAGGGUGAGCUAAUCGCAUAAAGCCGGUCUCAGUUCGGAUUGUAGGCUGCAACUCGCCUGCAUGAAGUUGGAAUCGCUAGUAAUCGCGGAUCAGCAUGCCGCGGUGAAUACGUUCCCGGGCCUUGUACACACCGCCCGUCACAUCACGAAAGCUGGCUGUACUAGAAGUAACUGCGCUAACCCGCAAGGGAGGCAGGUUCCUAAGGUAUGGUUAGUGAUUGGGGUGAAGUCGUAACAAGGUAACCGU
rnacentral:rRNA from 1 species